GCCUUGUAGCUUUAGCAAAUAAUUUAUUUGGUUGCUUUUUUUCAUUCUUUUUGUAGACUCGUGUAUGAUGCACAGACUUUGGACAGGACAUAUCUAGAAAACAAAAAGCAGUUGAAUGCAAUGCAGAGAGCUGAUAAAAGUUAGCACUGCAUUGACAGUCCAGCCAAGAACAGGACAGGAACAGCUUUUACUCCUGGGCAGAAAAGAAGAGACUUUCCAACAUGCAGAAAAAUGAAGUUCUGUGAAUAGAGGAAGGAGUACAAAGCAGAAAGUGUGUCUUCUGAGUGUCUUUGUGGCAUCAAAUUUUUAAAACCCCUGUUAAAAUAAGGCAAGAUCUUCUGUGGGUGCACAUUGCCAUAGUUGUUAUAAUUUAGAAUAUCUGCACUAUUUUCACUUAAACUGGGGAUUUAGCACAUUUUGACAGUCCCAGUGACAGAAUAUGUUAUAGAUAUUUGCUUGACAGAAUUUGUACAAUUUAGAGUUGACUUGCUUGAUUAUUCUUUGUGCUUGUGUGUGCCCCCUCCACCGACCAUGCUGAGGGCUCUGUCAUUUAGCUUGACUCCACUCUAUUCAAUUGAGCAGUGGCUGCAGGAGGCCAGACAGCACAUAUCCUAGGGCCAUACAAGUGCUAGUUGGCAGGAUGUACUCUGCAAAGCCAGAGGCACUCAAGGGACUACAGAGUCACAUUUGUGACAUAAUACUGAGUGCCUGAGCCAUGCUCAUUGUGAUGAAGUGUGUGGUGUUUGUUCUCAGCUGGUUGUGCAGUUG
rnacentral:lncRNA from 1 species